AUUCCAGCUCCAAUAGCGUAUAUUAAAGUUGUUGCAGUUAAAAAGCUCGUAGUUGAACUUUGGGCUUGGAGAAUCGGUCCGACUAUGUCGUGUACUGUCUUCUCCAGGUCCUUCCUUCUGGUUCUCAAUUGGGGCUUGCUCCUUUUGGUGAUCCAGGAUUUUUACUUUGAAAAAAUUAGAGUGUUCAAAGCAGGCGUUUUGCUCGAAUAUAUUAGCAUGGAAUAAUAGAAUAGGACGAAUGGUCCUAUUUUGUUGGUUUCUAGGACCAUCGUAAUGAUUAAUAGGGACGGUCGGGGGCAUCAGUAUUCAGUUGUCAGAGGUGAAAUUCUUGGAUUUACUGAAGACUAACUACUGCGAAAGCAUUUGCCAAGGACGUUUUCAUUG
rnacentral:rRNA from 1 species